rnacentral:rRNA from 1 species
GAUGAACGCUGGCGGCGUGCCUAAUACAUGCAAGUCGAGCGAACAGACGAGGAGCUUGCUCCUCUGACGUUAGCGGCGGACGGGUGAGUAACACGUGGAUAACCUACCUAUAAGACUGGGAUAACUUCGGGAAACCGGAGCUAAUACCGGAUAAUAUAUUUAACCGCAUGGUUCAAUAGUGAAAGACGGUUUUGCUGUCACUUAUAGAUGGAUCCGCGCCGCAUUAGCUAGUUGGUAAGGUAACGGCUUACCAAGGCAACGAUGCGUAGCCGACCUGAGAGGGUGAUCGGCCACACUGGAACUGAGACACGGUCCAGACUCCUACGGGAGGCAGCAGUAGGGAAUCUUCCGCAAUGGGCGAAAGCUUGACGGAGAAACGCCGCGUGAGUGGUGAAGGUCUUCGGAUCGUAAAACUCUGUUAUUAGGGAAGAACAAAUGUGUAAGUAACUAUGCACGUCUUGACGGUACCUAAUCAGAAAGCCACGGCUAACUACGUG